rnacentral:rRNA from 1 species
ACGGGAGGCAGCAGUGAGGAAUAUUGGUCAAUGGACGAGAGUCUGAACCAGCCAAGUAGCGUGAAGGAUGACUGCCCUCUGGGUUGUAAACUUCUUUUAUACGGGAAUAAAGUGAGGCACGUGUGCCUUUUUGUAUGUACCGUAUGAAUAAGGAUCGGCUAACUCCGUGCCAGCAGCCGCGGUAAUACGGAGGAUCCGAGCGUUAUCCGGAUUUAUUGGGUUUAAAGGGAGCGUAGGCGGACGCUUAAGUCAGUUGUGAAAGUUUGCGGCUCAACCGUAAAAUUGCAGUUGAUACUGGGUGUCUUGAGUACAGUAGAGGCAGGCGGAAUUCGUGGUGUAGCGGUGAAAUGCUUAGAUAUCACGAAGAACUCCGAUUGCGAAGGCAGCUUGCUGGACUGUAACUGACGCUGAUGCUCGAAAGUGUGGGUAUCAAACAGGAUUAGAUACCCUGGUAGUCCACACAGUAAACGAUGAAUACUCGCUGUUUGCGAUAUACAGUAAGCGGCC